rnacentral:rRNA from 1 species
AGACAAUAGAUACCCGGGUAGUCCACGCCGUAAACGAUGAUAACUAGCUGUCGGGGGUCAUGGACUUUCGGUGGCGCAGCUAAACGCAUUAAGUUAUCCGCCUGGGGAGUACGGCCGCAAGGUUAAAACUCAAAGAAAUUGACGGGGGCCUGCACAAGCGGUGGAGCAUGUGGUUUAAAUUCGAAGCAACGCGCAGAACCUUACCAGCGUUUGACAUCCUGAUCGCGGUUACCAGAGAUGGUUUCCUUCAGUUCGGCUGGAUCAGUGACAGGUGCUGCAUGGCUGUCGUCAGCUCGUGUCGUGAGAUGUUGGGUUAAGUCCCGCAACGAGCGCAACCCUCGUCUUUAGUUGCCAUCAUUUAGUUGGGCACUCUAAAGAAACCGCCGGUGAUAAGCCGGAGGAAGGUGGGGAUGACGUCAAGUCCUCAUGGCCCUUACGCGCUGGGCUACACACGUGCUACAAUGGCGUGACAACGGGCUGCUACCUCGCGAGGGGAAGCUAAUCCCAAAAAGCCGUCUCAGUUCGGAUUGUUCUCU